UACAGAGGGUGCGAGCGUUGUCCGGAAUCACUGGGCGUAAAGGGCGCGUAGGUGGCGGCCCAAGUCCAUGGUGAAAGCUCGAUGCUCAACAUCGAGUCGGCCACGGAUACUGGGUUGCUCGAGCACUGUAGGGGCAGAUGGAAUUCCGGGUGUAGCGGUGGAAUGCGUAGAGGAGUCCGGAAAGAACACCGGUGGCGAAGGCGGUC
rnacentral:rRNA from 1 species